UCUGUGGUGGACGUGCAACCCUUUGCCCCUGCUCCCAUCGGCGGCCCCUCCCAGCUGGGGUUGUAAAGCCCUAUACUCAGGGCCUGUGUGCCGGUGGCUCUGCCCUAUCUUCUUCUGCGCCCUGGUCCUUCAGGCACAAUGGGACCUGGCUUCCCCCAACUGCUGCUCCUGCUGCCCCCGGUGGUGCUGUUGCUGUCCCUCCCCUUCCUGCUGGGCUUCCAGUAGAGACCCUGCUGCGCAUCGGGAAGUACUUUGGGGUCUGGCUCUAGACUAUUUCCAGAAUGGAAGAGUCAACAUCUGUAGGGCUUUCAUUACCCUGGGGUUUCCCAGGCUGGGCAAAGUGCCAUCCAGACUGAAGGGAGCCAACAAAGCUCUCUGAGGACAGACCAUGAAGAUGACAGUCUCCCGUAUGGAUACCAGGACCGUGGGGACCUCUCCGUGCCCUUCUUGAGACCAAGGGCUCAAAUUGGUUUUGAAUCCCACCGUGACACUGUAAACGAUUGUAGAGAGUUGGCCCUUCUUUGACCCGCUCAGUUACUCGUUUAGCCCUUUUCUGUGCCCCUGUAGCCUCAAAGGAUGGGGCCCCCCUGCCCCAGCACUGUUCAAGCCCCGAAGUCUGCUCCUC